CACUCUGUGUGGGGAACAUGAGAGCCAGACCAAAGCUCAGAGGAAAAAACGUAGAAGAAGAAAACGUAAGCCAAAAUCUGAACCAGAAACUGGACCUCCACCCAGAAAGCGUGACAAGUCUAAAACCCCUCCCAUCAAUUUUAAAGUCCAGCCUCUGUCUGCUGCAGAGAGGAUUUAUGGGAGACCUGCUGAACCUAAACCUGGACCUGAACCUGAACCCAGCUAUGUGUCCCUAAAGAGUGACCAGUCUAAAGAUUUUAUCAUUCACUUUGAAUCAGGCGUGUCUCAUCCUGCAGAGAGAGUGGACCAGGAGAGCUCAGAGGUUCCCAGUGGUCAGU